rnacentral:lncRNA from 10 species
UUUCAAAAAUGAAAGCAAUGUUCAGAAUGUGGUCUGUCAAUGAAAUGGAAAUAAUAGGUAUGGAAUAUCUAAAAAAAAUACACCUAGUUUUCCAUUCUCUCUGCCAGCAUCUAGUGCAGGCCCUUUAUGAUAAGGAAAAUCUCCACAUUAGUUACUGUCAGUAACCUCCAGCCACCCAGUGCUGGUUGUUUUUAUAUUUAUCCACAGAACUCAAGCAAUCCAAUUAGUCUGGAGCAGAGGGUGGGGUCAGGGGUGGUGGAGAAUCAGAUUUGAGAGACAGCAGGGCCAGAUGAUAAAUGGGCUUGGAUCGCACCAUAUGGAAUGUGGAUGUUAUCUCUAAGGUAAUGAUUAACCAGAGAAGAGUCUUAAGCAAAGAGCACAGAAUUUUAGAACAGGAGGGAAGAUGCAGGGUCAUGAAUCGAGGCCACAGGUCCAUUCAGGCCCAAGUGUGGGAGGCAUGGAUGCAGGGAGCAGAGACCCCACACAUGGUUUACCAGAAGUGUCUAAAUUCCAAAACAGGUCUCAAAAUUGAACAGAGCAAGUAGAGCAGUGUUAUUCUGAAUCAGCCAAGUUAUCACGCUUUGCUCCGUGGGGUAAGCCAGCUAGUGGCGAAAACUGUAAGGGGCUGGGCCAUACUGGCAAUUAUCCCCAGUGAUCAU